rnacentral:rRNA from 1 species
UACGAAGGGGGCUAGCGUUGCUCGGAAUCACUGGGCGUAAAGGGUGCGUAGGCGGAUCUUUAAGUCAGGGGUGAAAUCCUGGAGCUCAACUCCAGAACUGCCUUUGAUACUGAGGAUCUUGAGUUCGGGAGAGGUGAGUGGAACUGCGAGUGUAGAGGUGAAAUUCGUAGAUAUUCGCAAGAACACCAGUGGCGAAGGCGGCUCACUGGCCCGAUACUGACGCUGAGGCACGAAAGCGUGGGAGCAAACAGG